CUUGUACACACCGCCCGUCACACCAUGGGAGUGGGUUUCACCCGAAGCCGGUUGCCUAACCGCAAGGGGGGCGACUGACCACGGUGAGAUUCAUGACUGGGGUG
rnacentral:rRNA from 1 species